rnacentral:ncRNA from 2 species
GAUAAGGCACCGGGGAGCUCGAAGGCAAUAUGCUUGAGCUGAGAGGAGAACAAAGCGUUCUCGACCCUUAUACCUGAUCCGGAUAAUGCCGGCGGAGGGAAUUGCUUGCAGAAUACAA